GACGAAGGGGGCAAGCGUUGUUCGGAAUUACUGGGCGUAAAGGGCUCGUAGGUGGCCAACUAAGUCGGACGUGAAAUCCCUCAGCUUAACUGGGGAAUUGCGUCCGAUACUGGAUGGCUUGAGUUUGGGAGAGGGAUGCGGAAUUCCAGGUGUAGCGGUGAAAUGCGUAGAUAUCUGGAGGAACACCGGUGGCGAAGGCGGCAUCCUGGACCAACACUGACACUGAGGAGCGAAAGCCAGGGGAGCAAACGGG
rnacentral:rRNA from 1 species